UCCAGAUUUACCUUAUUGGUUGGUGAUUGAAGUGUGGAGAAAUUCAUAAUAAGGAAAGUGUCCUUCUGCUUGUGGUGGCAGGUGCAUUGCUUGGAACCUGAGAAACACCUGGAUGAAGGCUCUGCCUGGAAAAUUCCUUCUCCUCUAAAUCUUCCUGCUCCUUUUUUCUUUGAAGGUGACAGAAACAAGAAGAACCCUUUCUAAUAAUUCUUCCCUGAGUUAUUAGUGUAAUCAGAAUCCUUUUACCUUCCUGUUGAAGAGGAAGCAUGAAACAACAACAACAAAAAAAGAUCCCCUGCUAGCAGUUGGAAAUCCAGUGGAGAAAACUACUGGAAGCGUUUUUUAAAGGAGGUUUACAGAUUUCCUCAGGUAGCAGGAAUAGAAUUUGGAUUCCAUCCAGAUGCAGAACCAGGACACAGAACUGUAGGAGACUCAAUGAAAGAUCAGGGACUGUAUCAGAAGGACAGCAAGGUCUACCACCUUGUCAUUAAGAAAUAUUUGGCUAAUAAGAGGAUGGGGAAGUCUAUACAGUCUACCUGACAUUCUGUUCACAAGCAUCUUUUGAUGAAUAAUAAAACUGGCCUUCUUUUCCAUAUUGAUCCUGUUGCAGCAAGUAAUUCUGUUCACAGCCUGGCCCAAGCUAAUACAGUCCACACAUUACCUUAAAUGGCUCAUGAGAACAGUGGGCUGGAGCUCUCUAAUGGGCUUCCUGAUACAUGACUACAGGACAAGCCACCUUAUUCUCCCUCUCUGAAUUCCAUACUGGCUCCCUCCUUAUCACCACAUCAUAUUUAAACUCCUUCUCCUGACAGUGAAAAUUAAAUUACUCUUUUUCAUAAUUCUCUGUCUUUUCUCUUGUUGUCAUACUUUUU